GACGAACGCUGGCGGCGUGCUUAACACAUGCAAGUCGAACGGAAAGGCCCUGCUUUUGUGGGGUGCUCGAGUGGCGAACGGGUGAGUAACACGUGAGUAACCUGCCCUUGUCUUUGGGAUAACUUCAGGAAACUGGGGCUAAUACCGGAUAGGAGCUCCUGCUGCAUGGUGGGGGUUGGAAAGUUUCGGCGGUUGGGGAUGGACUCGAGGCUUAUCAGCUUGUUGGUGGGGUAGUGGCUUACCAAGGCUUUGACGGGUAGCCGGCCUGAGAGGGUGACCGGCCACAUUGGGACUGAGAUACGGCCCAGACUCCUACGGGAGGCAGCAGGGGGGAAUAUGGCACAAUGGGCGGAAGCCUGAUGCAGCAACGCCGCGUGCGGAAUGACGGCCUUCGGGUUGUAAACCGCUUUCGCCUGUGACGAAGCGGGAGUGACGGUAAUGGGUAAAGAAGCACCGGCUAACUACGUG
rnacentral:rRNA from 1 species